rnacentral:rRNA from 1 species
UACCCUGGUAGUCCACGCGGUAAACGAUGGAUGCUCGUUGUCGGCCUUUAUGGUCGGUGACCAAGCGAAAGCGUUAAGCAUCCCACCUGGGGAGUACGCCGGCAACGGUGAAACUCAAAGGAAUUGACGGGGGCCCGCACAAGCGGAGGAACAUGUGGUUUAAUUCGAUGAUACGCGAGGAACCUUACCCGGGCUUGAACUGCGGCGGAACGAUUCCGAGAGGAUGAGGCCCUUCGGGGCUGCCGCGGAGGUGCUGCAUGGUUGUCGUCAGCUCGUGCCGUGAGGUGUCGGCUUAAGUGCCAUAACGAGCGCAACCCCCGUCUUCAGUUGCCAUCGGAGGAUGCCGGGCACUCUGGAGAUACUGCCACCGCAAGGUGUGAGGAAGGUGGGGACGACGUCAAAUCAGCACGGCCCUUACGUCCGGGGCUACACACGUGUUACAAUGGCGCAUACAGAGAGUCGGUGGCAUGCGAGUGCCAUCCAAUCCUUAAAGUGCGUCUCAGUUCGGACUGGGGUCUGCAACCCGACCCCACGAAGCUGGAUUCGCUAGUAAUCGCGCAUCAGCCAUGGCGCGGUGAAUACGUUCCCGGGCCUUGUACACACCGCCCGUCAAGCCAUGAAAGCCGGGGGCGCCUGAAGUCCGUGACCGCGAGGGUCGGCCUAGGUAACCCCCGGGGU